CCUACGGGAGGCAGCAGUAGGGAAUUUUCGUCAAUGGGCGCAAGCCUGAACGAGCGAUGCCGCGUGAGUGCAGAAGGCCUUCGGGUCGUAAAGCUCUGUUGCGGGGGAAAAAAGGCAGCAUCAGGAAAUGGGUGCUGACUGAUGGUGCCCCGCCAGAAAGUCACGGCUAACUACGUGCCAGCAGCCGCGGUAAUACGUAGGUGGCGAGCGUUAUCCGGAAGGAUUGGGCGUAAAGGGUGCGCAGGCGGUCCUGCAAGUCUGGAGUGAAACGCAUGAGCUCAACUCAUGCAUGGCUUUGGAAACUGGAGGACUGGAGAGCAGGAGAGGGCGGUGGAACUCCAUGUGUAGCGGUAAAAUGCGUAGAUAUAUGGAAGAACACCAGUGGCGAAGGCGGCCGCCUGGCCUGUUGCUGACGCUGAGGCACGAAAGCGUGGGGAGCAAAUAGGAUUAGAUACCCUUGUAGUC
rnacentral:rRNA from 1 species